AUAUUGGGCAAUGGGCGCAAGCCUGACCCAGCAACGCCGCGUGAAGGAAGAAGGCUUUCGGGUUGUAAACUUCUUUUCAGAGGGAAGAGUAGAAGACGGUACCUCUUGAAUAAGCCCCGGCUAACUACGUGCCAGCAGCCGCGGUAAUACGUAGGUGGCAAGCGUUGUCCGGAUUUACUGGGGGUAAAGGGCGUGUAGCCGGGCCGGCAAGUCAGAGGUGAAAUCCCAAGGCUCAACCUUGGAACUGCAUUUGAAACUGUUGGUCUUGAGUAUCGGAGAGGCAGGCGGAAUUCCUAGUGUAGCGGUGAAAUGCGUAGAUAUUAGGAGGAACACCAGUGGCGAAGGCGGCCUGCUGGACGACAACUGACGGUGAGGCGCGAAAGCGUGGGGAGCAAACAG
rnacentral:rRNA from 1 species